UUUAAAAAACUUAAAACCUGGUUAAAACUUUAAUUUAAUAGUUAGCUUUAUAAAUAAUAACAUUUUUAUUUUUUGAAUAAAAUGAUCAUAAUUCAAAUGAAAGUUUGUAAUCACUUACUUUAAUUUUUAACUUAUAUGUACUCAGCUGAUGAUAUAGAUUUAAAAAUAUGUUAGAUAUUCAUAAUACAUUUUAUGGGUCAGAUAUUGGUAAUAAAUAAGGUACAGUGUACAUUUACAGGUCCCCAAUGGCCUUAUUGUACAGCAAUUACCUAGGUAUCAAGUAUCGAACACAUAUUUGUUUAAACCUUUUUUGAGAAUAUUUAACAACUACAAAUACAAAUGAAAGACAUUUGUUGGAUAAAAU